GUAUGUCAAAAGGGAAACAGCCCAGAACAAGAGUUAAGGUUCCGAAAUUAUUAUUAAGUGAAAUUAAGAAAGUUUUUAUUCAAGUCGACAAGGAGAUGGGCUUAGAAGCAGCCAUAAUUCGAAGAUCUCGUAACAGAGCGCUUGUUAAUUUUUAAAGGCAUCUAAAAUUUAACGGAUCUAAAUAAUAUACCGAUACCUUGUCCAUAAUUGA